GACGAGGGGUCCUAGCGUUGUUCGGAAUCACUGGGCGUAAAGCGUAUGUAGGCGGCUCGGUAAGUCAGGUGUGAAAGCCCUGGACUCAACCCAGGAAGUGCACUUGAUACUGCUGAGCUUGAGUAUGAGAGGGAGUAGUAGAAUUCCUGGUGUAGUGGUGAAAUACGUAGAUAUCAGGAGGAACCCCAGAGGCGAAGGCGACGCCCUGGCUCGUACCUGACGCUCAGCCACGAAAGCAUGGGGAGCGAACGGG
rnacentral:rRNA from 1 species